UACAGAGGUCUCAAGCGUUGUUCGGAUUCAUUGGGCGUAAAGGGUGCGUAGGCGGCGCGGUAAGUCGGGUGUGAAAUCUCGGAGCUUAACUCCGAAACUGCAUUCGAUACUGCCGUGCUUGAGGACUGGAGAGGAGACUGGAAUUCAUGGUGUAGCAGUGAAAUGCGUAGAGAUCGUAAGGAAGACCAGUGGCGAAGGCGGGUCUCUGGACAGUUCCUGACACUGAGGCACGAAGGCCAGGGGAGCAAACGGG
rnacentral:rRNA from 1 species